CAUCGACUUCGAAGGUUCGACUCGAGCGCCAGCGAGAAAGCGUUGCCGCAGGCAACGACCCGAAGGGCGAAGCGCGCAGCGCUGAGUAAUCCUUCCCCCACCACCA
rnacentral:sRNA from 1 species